GGAGCAGCCCAGAGUCUGAAUCAGCUUGUGUGUUAGUGGAACGGUCUGGAAAGUCCGACGGUACAGGGUGAUAGUCCCGUACACCAAAAUGCACAGGUUGUGAACUCGAAGAGUAGGGCGGGACACGUGGUAUCCUGUCUGAAUAUGGGGGGACCAUCCUCCAAGGCUAAAUACUCCUGACUGACCGAUAGUGAACCAGUACCGUGAGGGAAAGGCGAAAAGAACCCCGGCGAGGGGAGUGAAAAAGAACCUGAAACCGUGUACGUACAAGCAGUGGGAGCACCUUCGGGUGUGACUGCGUACCUUUUGUAUAAUGGGUCAGCGACUUAUAUUCUGUAGCAAGGUUAACCGUAUAGGGGAGCCGCAGGGAAACCGAGUCUUAACUGGGCGUUAAGUUGCAGGGUAUAGACCCGAAACCCGGUGAUCUAGCCAUGGGCAGGUUGAAGGUUGGGUAACACUAACUGGAGGACCGAACCGACUAAUGUUGAAAAAUUAGCGGAUGACUUGUGGCUGGGGGUGAAAGGCCAAUCAAACCGGGAGAUAGCUGGUUCUCCCCGAAAGCUAUUUAGGUAGCGCCUCGUGAACUCAUCUUCGGGGGUAGAGCACUGUUUCGGCUAGGGGGUCAUCCCGACUUACCAACCCGAUGCAAACUACGAAUACCGAAGAAUGUUAUCACGGGAGACACACGGCGGGUGCUAACGUCCGUCGUGAAGAGGGAAACAACCCAGACCGCCAGCUAAGGUCCCAAAGUCAUGGUUAAGUGGGAAACGAUGUGGGAAGGCACAGACAGCCAGGAUGUUGGCUUAGAAGCAGCCAUCAUUUAAAGAAAGCGUAAUAGCUCACUGGUCGAGUCGGCCUGCGCGGAAGAUGUAACGGGGCUAAACCAUGCACCGAAGCUGCGGCAGCGACACUAUGUGUUGUUGGGUAGGGGAGCGUUCUGUAAGCCUGCGAAGGUGACCUGUGAGGGUUGCUGGAGGUAUCAGAAGUGCGAAUGCUGACAUAAGUAACGAUAAAGCGGGUGAAAAGCCCGCUCGCCGGAAGACCAAGGGUUCCUGUCCAACGUUAAUCGGGGCAGGGUGAGUCGACCCCUAAGGCGAGGCCGAAAGGCGUAGUCGAUGGGAAACAGGUUAAUAUUCCUGUACUUGGUGUUACUGCGAAGGGGGGACGGAGAAGGCUAUGUUAGCCGGGCGACGGUUGUCCCGGUUUAAGCAUGUAGGCUGGUUAUCCAGGCAAAUCCGGAUAAUCAAGGCUGAGGUGUGAUGACGAGGCACUACGGUGCUGAAGUAACAAAUGCCCUGCUUCCAGGAAAAGCCUCUAAGCAUCAGGUAACAUCAAAUCGUACCCCAAACCGACACAGGUGGUCAGGUAGAGAAUACCAAGGCGCUUGAGAGAACUCGGGUGAAGGAACUAGGCAAAAUGGUGCCGUAACUUCGGGAGAAGGCACGCUGGUGUGUAGGUGAAGUCCCUGCGGAUGGAGCUGAGACCAGUCGAAGAUACCAGCUGGCUGCAACUGUUUAUUAAAAACACAGCACUGUGCAAACACGAAAGUGGACGUAUACGGUGUGACGCCUGCCCGGUGCCGGAAGGUUAAUUGAUGGGGUUAUCCGUAAGGAGAAGCUCUUGAUCGAAGCCCCGGUAAACGGCGGCCGUAACUAUAACGGUCCUAAGGUAGCGAAAUUCCUUGUCGGGUAAGUUCCGACCUGCACGAAUGGCGUAAUGAUGGCCAGGCUGUCUCCACCCGAGACUCAGUGAAAUUGAACUCGCUGUGAAGAUGCAGUGUACCCGCGGCAAGACGGAAAGACCCCGUGAACCUUUACUAUAGCUUGACACUGAACAUUGAGCCUUGAUGUGUAGGAUAGGUGGGAGGCUUUGAAGCGUGGACGCCAGUCUGCGUGGAGCCAACCUUGAAAUACCACCCUUUAAUGUUUGAUGUUCUAACGUUGGCCCCUGACCGGGGUUGCGGACAGUGUCUGGUGGGUAGUUUGACUGGGGCGGUCUCCUCCCAAAGCGUAACGGAGGAGCACGAAGGUUAGCUAAUCCUGGUCGGACAUCAGGAGGUUAGUGCAAUGGCAUAAGCUAGCUUGACUGCGAGCGUGACGGCGCGAGCAGGUGCGAAAGCAGGUCAUAGUGAUCCGGUGGUUCUGAAUGGAAGGGCCAUCGCUCAACGGAUAAAAGGUACUCCGGGGAUAACAGGCUGAUACCGCCCAAGAGUUCAUAUCGACGGCGGUGUUUGGCACCUCGAUGUCGGCUCAUCACAUCCUGGGGCUGAAGUAGGUCCCAAGGGUAUGGCUGUUCGCCAUUUAAAGUGGUACGCGAGCUGGGUUUAGAACGUCGUGAGACAGUUCGGUCCCUAUCUGCCGUGGGCGCUGGAGAAUUGAGGGGGGCUGCUCCUAGUACGAGAGGACCGGAGUGGACGCAUCACUGGUGUUCGGGUUGUCAUGCCAAUGGCACUGCCCGGUAGCUAAAUGCGGAAGAGAUAAGUGCUGAAAGCAUCUAAGCACGAAACUUGCCCCGAGAUGAGUUCUCCCUGAGACUUUAAGUCUCCUGAAGGAACGUUGAAGACGACGACGUUGAUAGGCCGGGUGUGUAAGCGCAGCGAUGCGUUGAGCUAACCGGUACUAAUGAACCGUGAGGCUUAACCUU
rnacentral:rRNA from 1 species